AUAGGGGAGCCGGAGGGAAACCGAGUCUUAAUUGGGCGUUAAGUUGCAGGGUAUAGACCCGAAACCCGGUGAUCUAGCCAUGGGCAGGUUGAAGGUUGGGUAACACUAACUGGAGGACCGAACCGACUAAUGUUGAAAAAUUAGCGGAUGACCUGUGGCUGGGGGUGAAAGGCCAAUCAAACCGGGAGAUAGCUGGUUCUCCCCGAAAGCUAUUUAGGUAGCGCCUCGUGAAUUCAUCUCCGGGGGUAGAGCACUGUUUCGGCUAGGGGGCCAUCCCGGCUUACCAACCCGAUGCAAACUGCGAAUACCGGAGAAUGUUAUCACGGGAGACACACGGCGGGUGCUAACGUCCGUCGUGAAGAGGGAAACAACCCAGACCGCCAGCUAAGGUCCCAAAGUCAUGGUUAAGUGGGAAACGAUGUGGGAAGGCCCAGACAGCCAGGAUGUUGGCUUAGAAGCAGCCAUCAUUUAAAGAAAGCGUAAUAGCUCACUGGUCGAGUCGGCCUGCGCGGAAGAUGUAACGGGGCUAAACCAUGCACCGAAGCUGCGGCAGCGAACGUAUCACCCAAGACAACUUUACGGAGUUGACGAUUGACGGAGCGAAGCGACGUCAAAGCGUUCAUUAAAGUCGAGUUGGCUUAGGGAUACGUUCGUUGGGUAGGGGAGCGUUCUGUAAGCCUGUGAAGGUGUGUCGUGAGGCAUGCUGGAGGUAUCAGAAGUGCGAAUGCUGACAUAAGUAACGAUAAAGCGGGUGAAAAGCCCGCUCGCCGGAAGACCAAGGGUUCCUGUCCAACGUUAAUCGGGGCAGGGUGAGUCGACCCCUAAGGCGAGGCCGAAAGGCGUAGUCGAUGGGAAACGGGUUAAUAUUCCCGUACUUGGUGUUACUGCGAAGGGGGGACGGAGAAGGCUAUGUUGGCCGGGCGACGGUUGUCCCGGUUUAAGCGUGUAGGUGUGUGUUCCAGGUAAAUCCGGUUCACUUUAACACUGAGGCGUGACGACGAGGCACUACGGUGCUGAAGCAACAAAUGCCCUGCUUCCAGGAAAAGCCUCUAAGCAUCAGGUAACAUCAAAUCGUACCCCAAACCGACACAGGUGGUCAGGUAGAGAAUACCAAGGCGCUUGAGAGAACUCGGGUGAAGGAACUAGGCAAAAUGGUGCCGUAACUUCGGGAGAAGGCACGCUGACACGUAGGUGAAGUGAUUUACUCAUGGAGCUGAAGUCAGUCGAAGAUACCAGCUGGCUGCAACUGUUUAUUAAAAACACAGCACUGUGCAAACACGAAAGUGGACGUAUACGGUGUGACGCCUGCCCGGUGCCGGAAGGUUAAUUGAUGGGGUCAGCGUAAGCGAAGCUCCUGAUCGAAGCCCCGGUAAACGGCGGCCGUAACUAUAACGGUCCUAAGGUAGCGAAAUUCCUUGUCGGGUAAGUUCCGACCUGCACGAAUGGCGUAAUGAUGGCCAGGCUGUCUCCACCCGAGACUCAGUGAAAUUGAACUCGCUGUGAAGAUGCAGUGUACCCGCGGCAAGACGGAAAGACCCCGUGAACCUUUACUAUAGCUUGACACUGAACAUUGAGCCUUGAUGUGUAGGAUAGGUGGGAGGCUUUGAAGUGUGGACGCCAGUCUGCAUGGAGCCGACCUUGAAAUACCACCCUUUAAUGUUUGAUGUUCUAACGUGGACCCGUAAUCCGGGUUGCGGACAGUGUCUGGUGGGUAGUUUGACUGGGGCGGUCUCCUCCUAAAGAGUAACGGAGGAGCACGAAGGUUGGCUAAUCCUGGUCGGACAUCAGGAGGUUAGUGCAAUGGCAUAAGCCAGCUUGACUGCGAGCGUGACGGCGCGAGCAGGUGCGAAAGCAGGUCAUAGUGAUCCGGUGGUUCUGAAUGGAAGGGCCAUCGCUCAACGGAUAAAAGGUACUCCGGGGAUAACAGGCUGAUACCGCCCAAGAGUUCAUAUCGACGGCGGUGUUUGGCACCUCGAUGUCGGCUCAUCACAUCCUGGGGCUGAAGUAGGUCCCAAGGGUAUGGCUGUUCGCCAUUUAAAGUGGUACGCGAGCUGGGUUUAGAACGUCGUGAGACAGUUCGGUCCCUAUCUGCCGUGGGCGCUGGAGAACUGAGGGGGGCUGCUCCUAGUACGAGAGGACCGGAGUGGACGCAUCACUGGUGUUCGGGUUGUCAUGCCAAUGGCACUGCCCGGUAGCUAAAUGCGGAAGAGAUAAGUGCUGAAAGCAUCUAAGCACGAAACUUGCCCCGAGAUGAGUUCU
rnacentral:rRNA from 2 species